rnacentral:rRNA from 1 species
CGGGUGAGUAAUGUCUGGGAAACUGCCUGAUGGAGGGGGAUAACUGCUGGAAACGGUAGCUAAUACCGCAUAACGUCGCAAGACCAAAGAGGGGACCUUCGGGCCUCUUGCCAUCGGAUGUGCCCAGAUGGGAUUAGCUAGUAGGUGGGGUAACGGCUCACCUAGGCGACGAUCCCUAGCUGGUCUGAGAGGAUGGCCAGCCACACUGGAACUGAGACACGGUCCAG